rnacentral:rRNA from 1 species
UACGUAGGGUGCAGGCGUUAAUCGGAAUUACUGGGCGUAAAGCGUGCGCAGGCGGUUUGCUAAGACAGGUGUGAAAUCCCCGGGCUUAACCUGGGAACUGCGCUUGUUACUGGCAAGCUAGAGUGUGGCAGAGGGGGGUGGAAUUCCAGGUGUAGCAGUGAAAUGCGUAGAGAUCUGGAGGAACACCGAUGGCGAAGGCAGCCCCCCUGGGCUAACACUGACGCUCAUGCACGAAAGCGUGGGGAGCAAACAGG